rnacentral:rRNA from 1 species
UACGGGGGGGGCAAGCGUUGUUCGGAAUUACUGGGCGUAAAGGGCUCGUAGGCGGCCAACUAAGUCGGACGUGAAAUCCCCAGGCUCAACCUGGGAACUGCGUCCGAUACUGGAUGGCUUGAAUCCGGGAGAGGGAUGCAGAAUUCCAGGUGUAGCGGUGAAAUGCGCAGAUAUCGGGAAGAACACCCGUGGCGAAGGCGGUUCUCUGGGACGGUACUGACGCUGAGACGCGAAAGCGUGGGGAGCGAACAGG